rnacentral:tRNA from 1 species
AUGCUGGUAGUAUAAUAAGUACAAUUGCCUUCCAAGCAGAAAGGCCAAAUAAUGGUCAGCAUA